rnacentral:rRNA from 1 species
CCCUUAGAUGUUCUGGGCCGCACGCGCGCUACAAUGACAGACUCAGCGAGUUACCUCUGUCGAAAGGCACAGGGAAUCUUUACAGUAUCUGCCGUGAUGGGGAUAGACCCUUGUAAUUUUUGGUCUUCAACGAGGAAUUCCUAGUAAACGCAAGUCAUUAACUUGCAUUGAUUACGUCCCUGCCCUUUGUACACACCGCCCGUCGCACCUACCGAUUGAAUGGUCCGGUGAAGUCCUCGGACCCAGUUGAACCUCGAGUUGAACAGGGAAAGUUGACUAAAUCUUACCAUUUAGAGGAAGGUGAAGUCGUAACA